rnacentral:rRNA from 1 species
UACGUAGGGCGCGAGCGUUGUCCGGAAUCAUUGGGCGUAAAGAGCUCGUAGGCGGCCUGUCGCGUCUGCUGUGAAAUCCCGGGGCUUAACCCCGGGCGUGCAGUGGAUACGGGCUGGCUGGAGGCAGGCAGGGGAGAACGGAAUUCCCGGUAUAGCGGUGAAAUGCGCAGAUAUCGGGAGGAACACCGGUGGCGAAGGCGGUUCUCUGGGCCUGUACUGACGCUGAGGAGCGAAAGCGUGGGGAGCGAACAGG